rnacentral:rRNA from 1 species
AAUGAACGCUGGCGGCAUGCCUAGCACAUGCAAGUCGAACGAAGGCUUCGGCCUUAGUGGCGCACGGGUGCGUAACGCGUGGGAAUCUGCCCUUGGGUUCGGAAUAACAGUUAGAAAUGACUGCUAAUACCGGAUGAUGUCGUAAGACCAAAGAUUUAUCGCCCAAGGAUGAGCCCGCGUAGGAUUAGCUAGUUGGUGGGGUAAAGGCCUACCAAGGCGACGAUCCUUAGCUGGUCUGAGAGGAUGAUCAGCCACACUGGGACUGAGACACGGCCCAGACUCCUACGGGAGGCAGCAGUGGGGAAUAUUGGACAAUGGGCGAAAGCCUGAUCCAGCAAUGCCGCGUGAGUGAUGAAGGCCUUAGGGUUGUAAAGCUCUUUUACCCGGGAUGAUAAUGACAGUACCGGGAGAAUAAGCUCCGGCUAACUUCGUG